rnacentral:misc_RNA from 2 species
UCACCCCUCAAGCCCCGUGCUUGGUGUUGGACGGUCGGUCGAAGGGGUUCCCCCUUGACCCCUCCUAAAGACAACGACGGCGGCCUGUGGUUCCCCCGGUACACUGAGCUUUUCACCGAGCACGUACCGGACGAGGGCGCCCAGGACCCGGUCUUCUCCUCUCGCGAGGAACUAUUUUUUCAA